rnacentral:rRNA from 1 species
UUGGAGGGCAAGUCUGGUACCAGCAGCCGCGGUAAUUCCAGCUCCAAUAGCGUAUAUUAAAGUUGUUGCAGUUAAAAAGCUCGUAGUUGAAUUUCGGGAUUAGUAGGUUGGUCAUGCCUCUGGUAUGUACUGGUCUCACUGAUUCCUCCUUCCUUGUGAACCGUAAUGCCAUUAAUUUGGUGUUGUGGGGAAUUUGGACUGUUACUUUGAAAAAAUUAGAGUGUUUAAAGCAGGCUAACGCUUGAAUACAUUAGCAUGGAAUAAUGAAACAGGACGUUCGAUCUUAUUUUGUUGGUUUCUAGGAUUGACGUAAUGAUUAAUAGGGAUAGUUGGGGGCAUUAGUAUUCAAUUGUCAGAGGUGAAAUUCUUGGAUUUAUUGAAGACUAACUACUGCGAAAGCAUUUGCCAAGGAUGUUUUCAUUAAUCAAGAACGAAAGUUAGGGGAUCGAAGACGAUCAGAUACCGUCGUAGUCUUAACCAUAAACUAUGCCGACUAGGGAUCGGAUGAUGUUAAUUUUUUAAUGACUCAUUCGGCGCCUUACGGGAAAC